rnacentral:rRNA from 1 species
UACGUAGGGGGCCAGCGUUGUCCGAAGUUACUGGGCGUAAAGGGCGCGUAGGCGGGGAAGAAAGUCUGCUGUGAAAGCCCGGAGCUUAACUCCGGAGGGUCGGUAGAUACUUUUUCUCUUGAAGCUGCUAGGGGGAGAUGGAAUUACCGGUGUAGCGGUGAAAUGCGUAGAUAUCGGUAGGAACACCUGUGGCGAAGGCGGUCUCCUGGGGCAGACUUGACGCUGAGGCGCGAAAGCUGGGGGAGCGAACGGGAUUAGAUACCCCGGUAGUCCCAGCCCUAAACGAUGGAUACUAGGUGUCAGGGGUAUCGACCCCCCUGGUGCCGCAGCUAACGCAGUAAGUAUCCCGCCUGGGGAGUACGGCCGCAAGGUUGAA